UUGCAUAUCCAUAGCGGAGGAAAAGAAACUAACAAGGAUUCCCCUAGUAACGGCGAGUGAAGCGGGAAGAGCUCAAAUUUGAAAUCUGGUAGCCUUCGGUUGCCCGAGUUGUAAUCUAGAGAAGUGUUUUCCGUGCCGGCCCAUGUACAAGUCCCUUGGAACAGGGCGUCAUAGAGGGUGAGAAUCCCGUCCUUGACAUGGACCCCCGGUGCUUUGUGAUACACUUUCAACGAGUCGAGUUGUUUGGGAAUGCAGCUCAAAAUGGGUGGUGAAUUCCAUCUAAAGCUAAAUAUUGGCGAGAGACCGAUAGCGAACAAGUACCGUGAGGGAAAGAUGAAAAGCACUUUGGAAAGAGAGUUAAACAGUACGUGAAAUUGUUGAAAGGGAAACGAUUGAAGUCAGUCAUGCUCUUGGGACUUACCUCCCUUGAGUGGGGUCAACAUCAGUUUUGAUCGAUGGAUAAAGGCACGGGGAAGGUAGCACUCUCGGGUGAACUUAUAGCCUCGCGUCAUAUACAUUGAUUGGGACUGAGGAACGCAGCAUGCCUUAUGGCCGGGAUUCGUCCACGUACAUGCUUAGGAUGUUGACAUAAUGGCUUUAAACGACCCGUCUUGACACCCGGACACAC
rnacentral:rRNA from 1 species